rnacentral:rRNA from 1 species
CAAAAACAUGGCGUUUUGAUUAUAAUUUAAGGUCUGGCCUGCCCAAUGAGUAGUUAAAUGGCCGCGGUAUUUUGACCGUGCAAAGGUAGCAUAAUCAUUAGUUUUUUAAUUGAAAGCUGGAAUGAAUGGUCGGACGAGAAAAUAACUGUCUCAGUAUAAUUUUGUUAGAAUUUUAUUUUUAAGUUAAAAAGCUUAAAUGUAUUUAAAAGACGAGAAGACCCUAUAGAGUUUUAUAUAUGUAUAUUUAUUGGUUUUAUAGUAUUUUGAUGCUGAUAUUUAGUAAUGUAUUUUGUUGGGGUGACAGAAAAAUUGGCUAAACUUUUUCUAAAAUUGAACAUUUAUUUAUGAUUGUUUGAUCCAUUAUUUAUGAUUAUAAGAUUAAAUUACCUUAGGGAUAACAGCGUAAUUUUUUUUGAGAGUUCUUAUCGAUAAAAGAGUUUGCGACCUCGAU